CGGCCGAAUAUCUAAGGUUUCCAGAGUAAAGCUGAUCUGCUCUGGGUAAGUCGGGGCCUAAGGCGAGGUCGAAAGACGUAGUCGAUGGAUAACAGGUAAAGAUUCCUGUACUGUAUCAUAACAGAACUGUGGGGACGCAGACAGAGAGCAUAAGCCGGGAAUGGAAAAACCGGUACAAGCGAGGUAGGAGUGCAUCAGGCAAAUCCGGUGCACAAUCUGAAGACGUGAUGUGGGGCGUAAAGCCGGAAGUAUGUGAGCUGGCUGCCAAGAAAAGCCGCUAUUGUUUAUGAUAUACCCGUACCGUAAACCGACACAGGUGGAUGAGGAGAGAAUCCUAAGGCCGACGGGAGAAGCAUUGUUAAGGAACUCGGCAAAAUGACUCCGUAACUUCGGGAGAAGGAGUGCCAUGUAAAAGUGGCCGCAGAGAAUUGGCCCAAGCAACUGUUUAGCAAAAACACAGGUCUAUGCAAAACCGAAAGGUGAGGUAUAUGGGCUGACGCCUGCCCGGUGCUGGAAGGUUAAGAGGAGAGGUUAGCGCAAGCGAAGCUUUGAAUUGAAGCCCCAGUAAACGGCGGCCGUAACUAUAACGGUCCUAAGGUAGCGAAAUUCCUUGUCGGGUAAGUUCCGACCCGCACGAAAGGUGUAACGAUUUGGGCACUGUCUCAACGAGGGACCCGGUGAAAUUGAAAUACCUGUGAAGAUGCAGGUUACCCGCGACUGGACAGAAAGACCCCAUGGAGCUUUACUGUAACCUGACAUUGGGUUUUGAUACAUUACGUACAGGAUAGGUGGGAGGCUUGGAAAGCUGGACGCUAGUCUGGCUGGAGCCGACGUUGGGAUACCACCCUUGAUGUAUUGAAAUUCUAACCGCGAGAGUAACGAAAUCCGGGACAGUGUCAGGCGGGCAGUUUGACUGGGGCGGUCGCCUCCGAAAGAGUAACGGAGGCGCCCAAAGGUUCCCUCAGCGCGGCCGGAAAUCGCGCGAAGAGUGUAAAGGCAGAAGGGAGCUUGACUGCGAGUCAAACACGACGAGCAGGUACGAAAGUAGGGCUUAGUGAUCCGGUGGUACCGAGUGGAAGGGCCAUCGCUCAACGGAUAAAAGCUACCCUGGGGAUAACAGGCUAAUCUCUCCCAAGAGUCCAUAUCGACGGGGAGGUUUGGCACCUCGAUGUCGGCUCAUCACAUCCUGGGGCUGAAGUCGGUCCCAAGGGUUGGGCUGUUCGCCCAUUAAAGUGGUACGUGAGCUGGGUUCAGAACGUCGUGAGACAGUUCGGUCCCUAUCCAUCGCGGGCGCAAGAGAUUUGAAGGGGGCUGCUCCUAGUACGAGAGGACCGGAGUGGACGAACCGCUGGUGUACCAAUUAUCCCGCCAGGGGUACAGUUGGGUAGCUACGUUCGGAAAGGAUAAACGCUGAAAGCAUCUAAGCGUGAAACCAGCCUUAAGAUGAGAUCUCUCAUAGAGCAAUCUAGUAAGACACCUUAAAGAAGAUGAGGUUGAUAGGUCGGGAGUGUAAGUACAGCAAUGUAUUGAGCGGACCGAUACUAAUAUGUCGAGGGCUUGACUUA
rnacentral:rRNA from 1 species